rnacentral:tRNA from 1 species
GGGCGGUUAGCUCAGUUGGUUAGAGCAUCUGCUUUACACGCAGAGGGUCGGAGGUUCAAAUCCUUCACCGCCCA